GACGAACGCUGGCGGCGUGCUUAACGCAUGCAAGUCGAACGGAAAGGCCCUGCUUUUGUGGGGUGCUCGAGUGGCGAACGGGUGAGUAACACGUGAGUAACCUGCCCUUGACUUUGGGAUAACUUCAGGUAACUGGGGCUAAUACCGGAUAGGAGCUCCUGCUGCAUGGUGGGGGUUGGAUAGUUUCGGCGGUUGGGGAUGGACUCGCGGGUUAUCAGCUUGUUGGUGGGGUAGUGGCUGACCAAGGCUUUGACGGGUAGCCGGCCUGGGAGGGUGACCGGCCACAAGGGGACUGAGAGACGGAGCAGACGGGAACGGGAGGCAGCAGGGGGAAGUAUUACAGAAUGAGCGGAAGCGAGAGAAGAAGACGCCGGGUGCGGGAUGACGGGCUGCGGGUGAAGAACCGCUGUCGCCUGAGAAGAAGCGGGAGUGACGGUAAUGAGUAAAGAAGCACCGGCUAACUACGUG
rnacentral:rRNA from 1 species